GUAUUGACUUAAUUUAUGUAAUAUGAGUAGUGCACGUGUUAGCUUCCUAAUUUUAACUGCAUUAUUUUUGUACAUUCAUUAUCUGGUUACCAAGAUCUUAUCCAUCGCUGAUUCUAUUUUGCCACCAAUAUUUAGUGUCUUUCUAAAGGUUUUUGCAGCAAUAUUUUCGUUGACCCAACAACAAAAUAAAAAAGCCUAUCGUGAGAUCAUCUACCAAGAAGUGCCAGGUAUCAAUACAUCCUAUGUAUUAUAUCAAUCUUUCAAGCUAAAUUACAGAAAGUGGAUAUAGCACUUGUGGGGCAUGAGAGAGGUGGAUGUAGCACUUGCACAUCCCAAGUCAAAUGAAGCCUCCACUAAGUAUUUUAAAAACCUCAAAAAGGGAGUCUUAAUGUUCCAAUUCCACAUUAGAUAUACUUUUAAAAUAGAGAUGAAUGUAUUAAAUGAAUUCAUUCGCAGGAAACUAGUAAACCUGGCAACUUAUGAGUUGACUGAUGGUUGUUUUCGUUGGUGGUAGGCCAGGGAGUUGAAUCACAAUGCCCAUUUAUUGACAAUGCGGCUAUUUGGACAUAAGGUGUAAGCUUUUUUAAUCAGGUGACCGUGCUUAUCUAACACUUUUUGGUGGCUUACAAAGAUUUAAUUGGUAGAACACAUGAUAUUCUAUCGAAUACAAGUCAGCUAAAUAAAGUUGCUGCGUUCAGUGGAAUAUGAGACUACUGGAAUGAGCUUUCAGAGCACAAACAUCAUAGUAAAUUUCUUGAGUCCUUCAUUCUGGUACUAAUGUACUAUUAUCCAUUAUUCUGUCCCUUUUCCCGCAUGAUGCUUUUGAUGUUAUUGAAGUGGCUGCCAUUUAUUGGGUUAGCUUUAACGCCACCUGCAACUUAUGCUUUCAUUCUGUGUUAGUGUAGAAGUUAGUGUGGCAUAUGCCACUUGCAGAAAGCCUUUCCAUUUCAAUACCUAUUGAAAUUCCUCUAAAAAUA